UUCAAAGAUCAGAUAUUUUUUGUUGCAUCCAUUUCAAAUGUUUACAAGGAUUGUGCAGGAGUAUGACAAAAGUGCUGUUGUCAGUUUAGAACCCAAUGUAUUGAAAAAACAGGAAGAGGAUCGACAUCCUUUUGUAAAUAUGACUGUCAUGCAUAUAUUAGGUAUUUGAAAGUAAUUAUUCAACUGUCUUCUCACUGCAGCAACUACACAACUGUGUAUGCACUUCUCAUUAUUGAUAGCCAGUCUGAGCCAGAAGACACAAUGGAGCAAAGCACAGAAUACCUGACUGCGGCACACAUUGUUGCAGAACUCUCUGCAAAAAUAACAAAUACAUCUUGCAGCAGGUUCAAUAUUAAUAGAGCCAGUGUGUGCGAUGGAGCAAUCCGCGGCUUCAAAGGUGGCUCAUUCGAUCCCUCAUGAGACGUCAGUUAAGUUCACUGAUGAUGAGGGACACACUGAGGAUGGAGGGGACAAUGGUGGUCCCAAGCGUGAGUUCCUGACCCUCCUUAUGGAAUGCCUGAGAAUGAAGAAAACAUCACGUCAGCAACUGUUUGUGCCCCAUGGCGGUGUGACUUUCCCAGCCGCUCACUGUCUCAAAAUCUGAUUCUAAAUAUAUAAUGUUCUCUAUAAAGAUAUAACUAAUACACAAUUAUGAAUGUAUAAUAUAA